rnacentral:rRNA from 1 species
UACGAAGGGGGCUAGCGUUGUUCGGAAUUACUGGGCGUAAAGCGCACGUAGGCGGAUUGUUAAGUUAGGGGUGAAAUCCCGGGGCUCAACCCCGGAACUGCCUUUAAUACUGGCAAUCUCGAGUCCGAGAGAGGUGAGUGGAAUUCCGAGUGUAGAGGUGAAAUUCGUAGAUAUUCGGAGGAACACCAGUGGCGAAGGCGGCUCACUGGCUUCGGUAACGUG